rnacentral:rRNA from 1 species
AGCGAACGCUGGCGGCAGGCCUAACACAUGCAAGUCGAACGAAGCCUUCGGGCUUAGUGGCGGACGGGUGAGUAACACGUGGGAACGUACCUUUUGGUUCGGAACAACUCAAGGAAACUUGAGCUAAUACCGGAUGAGCCCUUAGGGGGAAAGAUUUAUCGCCGAAAGAGCGGCCCGCGUUAGAUUAGCUAGUUGGUGAGGUAAAGGCUCACCAAGGCUACGAUCUAUAGCUGGUCUGAGAGGAUGAUCAGCCACACUGGGACUGAGACACGGCCCAGACUCCUACGGGAGGCAGCAGUGGGGAAUCUUGCGCAAUGGGCGAAAGCCUGACGCAGCCAUGCCGCGUGAAUGAUGAAGGUCUUAGGAUUGUAAAAUUCUUUUACCAGGGACGAUAAUGGCGGUACCUGGAGAAAAAGCCCCGGCUAACUUCGUGCCAGCAGCCGCGGUAAUAC